CAAUAAAUCAAUACCGGAUUACAUACAAAUAUAUUUUAAUUUAUAUAUACAUUUUUGCAGUCAUUUUGUGAAAUAAAUCAUGGAGUUGGAACUUACUUACAAUGGCUGUCACUGGCUUUUAAUUAUUGAUUUUUUU
rnacentral:sRNA from 1 species